UACGGAGGGAGCUAGCGUUGUUCGGAAAUACUGGGCGUAAAGCGCACGUAGGCGGCGCAGCAAGUCAGGGGUGAAAUCCCGGGGCUCAACCCCGGAACUGCCCUUGAAACUGCAGUGCUAGAAUUCUGGAGAGGCGAGUGGAAUUCCGAGUGUAGAGGUGAAAUUCGUAGAUAUUCGGAAGAACACCAGUGGCGAGGGCGACUCGCUGGACAGACAUUGACGCUGAGGUGCGAAAGCGUGGGGAGCAAACAGG
rnacentral:rRNA from 1 species